GAUGAAGAACGUAGCGAAAUGCGAUAAGUAAUGUGAAUUGCAGAAUUCAGUGAAUCAUCGAAUCUUUGAACGCACAUUGCGCCCGCCAGUAUUCUGGCGGGCAUGCCUGUUCAAGCGUCAUUACAACCCUCAGGCCCCCGGGCCUGGCGUUGGGGAUCGGCGGAAGCCCCCUGUGGGCACACGCCGUCCCUCAAAUACAGUGGCGGUCCCGCCGCAGCUUCCAUUGCGUAGUAGCUAACACCUCGCAACUGGAGAGCGGCGCGGCCAUGCCGUAAAACACCCAACUUCUGAAUGUUGACCUCGAAUCAGGUAGGAAUACCCGCUGAACUUAAGCAUAUCAAUAAGCGGAGGA
rnacentral:misc_RNA from 1 species